GCCUCCUUAGCUCAGUGGAUUCAGAGCACUGGUUUACGAAGCCAGGGGUCGCACGUUCGAGUCGUGCAGGAGGCG
rnacentral:tRNA from 1 species